rnacentral:tRNA from 1 species
UGUUCAGUGGCGAUGUUGGUUAACGCGCCCUGCUUAGUGAAUUGGGGAGACGUGGGUUCAAAUCCCACCAGAACUA